CCUACGGGCGGCAGCAGUGAGGAAUAUUGGUCAAUGGGCGCGAGCCUGAACCAGCCAAGUCGCGUGAGGGAAGACGGUCCUAUGGAUUGUAAACCUCUUUUGUCGGGGAGCAAAAGACGCCACGCGUGGCGUUCCGAGAGUACCCGAAGAAAAAGCAUCGGCUAACUCCGUGCCAGCAGCCGCGGUAAUCCGGAGGAGGCGAGCGUUAUCCGGAUUUAUUGGGUUUAAAGGGUGCGCAGGCGGAAGAUCAAGUCAGCGGUAAAAUUGAGGGGCUCAACCUCUUCGAGCCGUUGAAACUGGUUGUCUUGAGUGAGUGAGAGGUAUGCGGAAUGCGUGGUGUAGCGGUGAAAUGCAUAGAUAUCACGCAGAACUCCGAUGGCGAAGGCAGCAUACCGGCGCUCAACUGACGCUCAUGCACGAAAGUGUGGGUAUCGAACAGGAUUAGAUACCCUAGUAGUC
rnacentral:rRNA from 1 species